CUCAGACAUGGCAGAACCACCAGCUAGCUGAGGUACUUCAGCACCUCUGAAAAGAAAGCAAGAGCUCUGUAUGGCAUACGGGGAGGGCUUUCAAUAGGUUACAGAACAUUCUUAGAACUUCGCUGCUUGUUACUCCCCAAGAGAAGAUUCAUCAAAUUGGAUGUAUCAGGUCAUAUAGUCAGAAGCAAGAUACAUCCAGCAUCAUCACCUAAAAAUGCAUAAUUGUCAAGUCAUUAUGGCCAUCUUGCAAAAGUUGUGGUAGUAAGAGCAAACUUAAUGACUUAAUGAAUAUGACCAGCAGCAUUGAAGAGUGAUCUUGCUGCCUCACUCCUAACUGGAUUUCUUCAGAUAAACAUGCAAACAUCCCUAUUUCAUUGUGACAGAAGCAAUGUUCACAGCACGAAGAUAAAUAGAUGCUGCAUGAGGUGCCUCCUCAUCAAAAGCCAUUACCCUUAAUGGUAAGCUGUGCAUCAGUCUGCUCAAAGUAUCUCAGGGCAUUGGAGGACUUUACAGUAACUAAAAUGGUUGUGGCAGGCUAUGCACUGCCUGAGCUGCAGCUAAAAAGUACUUGAGAGUGCUUGGAGGUGCACAGACUGCUAGGACUGUCCUGGAGAGAGCAUCACAUCCACCACACACUGGGUAAGUGCUUGUUGCAGUGAACUGUAUCUCCAGAAAACUUCAAGGCAUUCUGAAGAGAAAUCCGGAAGGAACAUCACAAAACAGAGCCAGGAAGCAAGAAGAAUCAGGGAUCUAUUCCUUACCUUUAUUCCCUGGCCCUCUGGCAUGACUUCAGCAUACUUAGUACUCUAUAGCACGUUCAGUGAUCAAGAUAAAACAUCACCUUCAAGCUUGAUUCAGCAUAGUACCUUUGUGUCUGUAUGUACAUCAACAAAUGCAUGCAGACAUACAAAAAAAGUCUGGAUACAAAAUCAAGACCUGAACCAAAAGAAAACACUGAAGUCUUGGAAUAGCAUCAUAAAACAACCAGACAAUGAACCAUUUGUAUAACUUAUAAAGUAUUUUUCUAAUGUCUCAUUUAUAGAAAUAAGUGAUUUAGUUGUAGGAACUUCCAUUUACAAGGAGUGAAUGCAUAGUUUCUUUUGUUCAGCAUGCUAUUUUGGCAGUGAUACAGAAAUGCCUACUGAUGUUUCUCAAUUGCUGUCAGGUCUUUAAUAUUUCCAUACUUAAUGCCUAUCAUUGCGUCUUAUCACUUUUUUUUUUUUUUUCCCAUUACCCUAUCCCCAAAUGCUGUCUUACCGAAAAGGUGAAUCACCCAUUCCCAGUUUUUGUGUAACAGAUAAGGGAAACAACUGAAGAUGAACGUGAGGCUGGUAUAUGUCAGUAAGCACUGCAAUGCAGGGAAGAUUUGGAAGUAUGCACUCAAAUAUUUCAUUUCCUGUGCUUGACUGGGAUCAGAGCAUUCAUAACCCCCUAAGUCUGGAAUCUGAGUUAGCGAAGUUAGAAACACAUUUUUUGUGUCCCAAAAUUUACUUUGUGAUAUGAAAAUAUCCCCUAUUUAUUUUCUUCUUGCAUGACAUUGCACAAGUCAUUGCAUAUAAUGAAUCAACUGGGAGGACAAACUUUUUCAAGCUCGGUCAGGGAGGCUCUGAGCUCCUUUUUUCUGAGUGCAAUAAGUGACCCUGCUCUGAAACACUGGAAAAGCGUUGAAAGCAAAACAAAGAAAUGUUUUCCAUUGCUUAGACUUAUGAGAGGUAUUUCUACCGUGGCAACAAGAGGCAUAGCUCAAAUCAAAGUCUGGAAACUAAAAAUAUUUUAAAAAAUUAAAAAUAGAAUUCCUGUGAAAUAAGUAUAACAAUUUUACUGGUCCUGAGUCAUUAAAAAAUGUCAUUUAACUUUCACUUUCUGAGUUGAUCAAUUGAUUGUUCACCUCCCAGUUUCUCUUCAUCUCACAGGAAGUUAGUGCUAUAGAGUGGUGUUUCUCAAAUAACUUCCCAAACAGAUUGUUUAACAUGUUGCCUUGUACAAAAUUCCAGUAGUAUUACCAUAUAUGAUUGCAUUUUAAAUAAAAUAACAUUUGUAACUG
ensembl:lncRNA